CCUACGGGGGGCUGCAGUAGGGAAUAUUGCACAAUGGGCGAAAGCCUGAUGCAGCAACGCCGCGUGCGCGAUGAAGGUCUUCGGAUCGUAAAGCGCUUUUCUGAGAGAUGAGAAAGGACAGUAUCUCAGGAAUAAGUCUCGGCUAACUACGUGCCAGCAGCCGCGGUAAAACGUAGGAGGCGAGCGUUAUCCGGAUUCACUGGGCGUAAAGCGCGUGCAGGUGGUUCGGUAAGUUGGGCGUGAAAUCUCCCGGCUCAACUGGGGGAAGGCGGUCGAUACUACCGGGCUUGAGAGCAGAAGAGGAAGAUGGAAUUCCCGGUGUAGUGGUGAAAUGCGUAGAUAUCGGGAGGAACACCAGUGGCGAAGGCGAUCUUCUGGUCUGUUUCUGACACUCAGACGCGACAGCUAGGGGAGUGAACGGGAUUAGAUACCCCGGUAGUC
rnacentral:rRNA from 1 species